AGAGAUCAGCUACACAUCUCCAAAAUAAUGACUAUGAGACCGAGAGUGUCCAGGAUGCUGGAAUUUCCAGAACCACUGGAUGAGUAGAACAUGAUUUUUCAAUCUGCAAUGCAAUACAAGACACAAAGAAGAAUAAAAGGGAUUUGAACGUUGUAUGACCUGAUCUUGUUGAUGCUUAUGGUUCUGUACCACACAAAUUAGUGAUGGAACCAAUGAACUUCUUUUAUAUAUGAGAGAAGAUUAGAGAUCUGGCUAGAAACUGCUGUAAUAAUUUCAAAAUGUGGUUCCUGACAGAAAAUUUCACAACAGACAUCGUUUUGAAACUGUAAUUGCUGUAGGUUACACAAUAUCAGUCAUUUGGUUUGUACUUGUUAUGGAGAUGUUACUUAGAUCAGCAGAUUGAUCAGAAGAAUUGGCUUGAGUGAAAUCACCCAAGAAGGAAUUUAAAGGAUGAUAUAACAAUACUAACAAGAGACCAAAAGGGUAUGCAAAUAGUUCUGGAUGGACUGGAUUAACUAAUUCUUUGGUCAAGAAUGGGGUUAAACCAAAUAAUUAAUGCUGUCAUUUGUCAAAAGGUUAGUUGAAGCAAGUGAAGUUCAAAACAGCAUACAAAACCAUGCAAGGGAUUAAAGAGAAACCUCUAAAAUCUUUUGGACGAUGGUAUGCUACCUCAUUGUCCAGUAAGAGUAGAGGUAUAGAGGUCAUGGCACAAACUGAAGAUGGGUUAAAGGCAAUAGCUAAGACAACAUUUCCUAGCAAAUAAAAGAUUUGAUGCUUCCAGUUUGAUCUGUAUCCCUGCCUUGCUUAUAAAAUCCUUGAGUAUCAGUUUUUAUGCAACAUUUCAGAUUUUUUUACUGCUAUUAUUUAUGGAUGAACAAUUAUAUAUAGUUAAUAAGAUUUUGUGAGAGCAUAAAGUGUUUUUGGAUACCUGAUAUGUUUUUGCUCCCCUCUGUAGAAUUAAUCAUUGCCCACCUGGAAAGAAAUGUGCUUCAUUAAGAAGUCUUCUAACAUCUCAAAUACAUGUGGCACAUAUAUAAGAAACAAAAAAUGAAAACUAAAAGAAAAACAGUGUUAUCAAGUGAUAAUUAAAUGAGAUAAUUGUAACAUUGUUAGAUUAUUUAAGAUGUCUUAAUAGAGAAAGGAAAUUGAGGAAGGUUAGUCUAUUUUGUUGUAGACCUAAGUAUUGAGCUAUUUACCUGUUGACCAAAAACAUAGUGGUCACCCGAUGACCAGCGAUGAUGAUAGGUAUGUCCCACUAUAUAAUAAAAUAUAGAUUAUUAAUAAAGAAUUUUUACUCUCAAGUAUAACAGUUGCAAAUAUUUAUUUCAGAAACUCCAAAGUUAGAGGAGAAGUGUCUCCAAGAUGUUGCAAAAUUGUUAGGAGUCAACUGGCAGCAAGUUGGCAGGAAUUUAGGAAUCAAAAAUGUUGAUCUGGGGAUUAUCAGGACUGACUAUCCUCAUAACACUAAAGAGCAGAGCUUCCAGAUGCUGCACACAUGGUACACAAGUUGUGAUCCAGAGAUGCGAACAUUCAAAACACUCAGAAAAGCUCUUGAGGAAGCUGAAUGCUUUGAGGCACUUCAAUGUCUACCAUCAGAAGAAAAGUGAACUUGUGUGUAAAUGCUGCAAUUGUUUAGUCCAAGGUCAACCUUGACUAAACAGAGACUCAUGAUCAAAUGCCUUCCAGCCAGGACCCUCCUGACUUUAUCCUUAGUGUAGGGAACCCAACAUUACAUUGUCCAAUGUGAUAAUUGAAUUGAGCAGGAUUUGGCUACUAAUUCUAGCAAAUCUAUCAACAACAUAAGAGAUUCCCUUCCUGAAUUGGUCCCUUUCUUCUUAGAAAUUAACUUUUGAAAUAAAGAUAAACUUUGAAACGUU